GAUGAACGCUGGCGGCGUGCUUAACACAUGCAAGUCGAACGAUGAUGCCCAGCUUGCUGGGUGGAUUAGUGGCGAACGGGUGAGUAACACGUGAGUAACCUGCCCUUGACUCUGGGAUAAGCCUGGGAAACUGGGUCUAAUACCGGAUACGACCAUCUGGCGCAUGUCAUGGUGGUUGAAAGCAUUUGUGGUUUUGGAUGGACUCGCGGCCUAUCAGCUUGUUGGUGGAGUAAUGGCCUACCAAGGCGACGACGGGUAGCCGGCCUGAGAGGGGGACCGGGGACACUGGGCCUGAGACACGGAGCAGACUCCUACGGUACGCAGCAGUGGGGAAUAUUGCACAAUGGGCGCAAGCGUGAUACAGCGACGCCGCGUGAGGGAUGACGGCCUUCUGGUGAUAAACCUCUUUCAAUAGAGAAGAAGCGAUAGUGACGGUACCUGCAGAAGAAGCGCCGGCUAACUACGUG
rnacentral:rRNA from 1 species